rnacentral:rRNA from 1 species
GAUUAACGCUGGCGGCAUGCCUAAUACAUGCAAGUCGAACGGAAGCAGCAAUGCUUUAGUGGCGAACGGGUGAGUAACACGUAGGGAACCUACCUAUACGACGAGGAUAACUACUGGAAACGGUAGCUAAAACUGGAUAGGAUCAAUUGAGGCAUCUUGAUUGAUUUAAAGAUCCUUCGGGAUUACGUAGAGAUGGCCCUGCGGCGCAUUAGCUAGUUGGUGAGGUAACGGCCCACCAAGGCGACGAUGCGUAGCUGAGCUGAGAGGCUAAACAGCCACACUGGGACUGAGACACGGCCCAGACUCCUACGGGAGGCAGCAGUAGGGAAUUUUCGGCAAUGGGGGAAACCCUGACCGAGCAAUGCCGCGUGAACGAUGAAGGUCUUCGGAUUGUAAAGUUCUGUGAUUGGGGAAGAAUGGUAUUCUUAGGGAAUGAGGAGUACAUGACGGUACCCGAUUAGAAAGCCCCGGCUAACUACGUGCCAGCAGCCGCGGUAAAUC